GGAGGAGGCCCGCCGUCCGCCAGAGGAGCUGCAGGAGCGCCGGAGCGAGCGCGGGCUCGCAGAGAGGGGCCCGGCGGAAAAGCAGCAGGGCAGCCGCGAGAUGGAAAAAUCAAUUAUUCUCCUGCUCUGGAUGCACUAUGCUGUUAAGAUCUCAAAAAGUUUCCAUUAUAUACCUACGAAUAAACAAACAACAGUAAUUUUUAUUGAAUGGGAUGAAUUUCCUCAGGGAGGAAGUCCUGAAUUUUAUUUUGUAAAAUACCAACUUGUUAAUAACUUUGCUCAAAAAAAUGUCAAAAGGAUUCUUGCAGACCCACCAGAGCUUCCAAAAGCAUUAAUGACACUAGACGAAAAUGAAGACUACCACAUCAGUAUACAGUCCAUCAAAUAUGGACAAGUGUUAAGUGAAAAGUCAUUUCAGACGCGUGGAAUAUCAGCUAGAAAUAUUAAGACACUAGCAACAAGUACAAGCGUUUCUUUUAACUGGAGUGUGCUGUCUUCCAAUGACAGUUUAGUGUCAAUAUCACUUAAUAAUUCUUCACAAAUUGUGCAAAAUAAUGUCAUGUUUUAUGAGUGGGCUGAUUUGAAACCUGCCACCUUAUAUGUUUUUACAUUUGAAUUUAAACAGUUGCAUUUGGAUUUUAUAAAUAUAUUUCAGAGACUGGAUGUUCAGAUUGAAACAGGUUCGUGUUCACAAGGAUGGGUGGCAUUAAAAAAUAACUGUUAUAGAAUUAGCAAAGAGCAUAAGCCAUGGAAUGUAGCCCAGCAACAUUGUAAGUUAUCCUUAAAUUCUGCACACCUUGUGGAUAUAAAAAAUGAAGAGGAGAAAAAUUUCAUAUGUUCACAUCUCAGGUCAAAGAAUCAAAUAAUGGUAUGGACUGGUCUUAGCAAUUUGAAGGAAGAAGGUCAACUGACGUUGACAGAUGGAUCAUCUUUUGGCCUUAAGAAAAACGGCAUCUUUUCUUUUCCACUGCUACCGAAGAAUGAAACAGAUUGCUACAUUUUACAGCAAAAUGCAACUGGAUCCAACUAUUUUUUUACAAGAUUUUUCUGUUAUAUUCCCUUGCCAUAUAUUUGUGAAUAUGAAUGUAAUUAUUUUAUUAGUAUUCUCGUACACAUGCAUCUUUAUUAUUUUAAAGAUAGAAUUAUCAUUUCUAAUGAAAUCCGUCUCUUUUAUAUUUUUUCAGUACCUUUUCUCCAGGAAAACAUUUCCUUCUAUGUAAAGGAGGUUGGAACAACUCAAGUUGUAUUUAGUUGGAAUAAUUUGAGUGGUUGGAAUAAGUUGAAUAAGUGGCUGAACCUGGGAUAUAAAAUCAUCAUUAAAUAUUAUUUAGAUUAUACAGAAGGACAACAUUUUGAAAGCAUCCCCCCAAAUACCACAGAAAAAGCAAUUACCCAUCUGUCUCCCGGCCAUGUUUACAGAUUUUCAUUGUUUGCAAUAAAUGAAUGGGAGGCAAAAACUACUUUAAGUCCAAUAUUCAUUGUCGAAACACGCCCAUUAUCAGCCAAAAAUGUCACAAUUACGCAUGUGACCCCAACAGAAAUAUUUUUGCACUGGGAGGCUCCAGAUCCAGUGUCUUUUCACCAUUAUUUGGUGACUAUUUUGGAUGUUGAAAACAAUGAAACGGAGGAGGUGUUUAUUGAAAAGCUCAACACUUCAACAACAAUUGGAAAUCUCACAUCUUUCCAUCAUUAUCUGAUACAUCUAUUCACGGUAGCAGAAAGGGGAACUUUAAGCGGCUUCAAGAAACCUAUUUCAGUGGUUACAGGUAAGUAUGGGCACUUUUUUUGCCUUUUGAUAAAAAACACAAACUGCAUAUUUUGCGGUACUAUUUCACUGAACCUUAAUUAUGUUGCUCCUUCGUCGGUACAAAUCAUCACAGCUGAACAUUUGUUUGGGUGUUGA
rnacentral:lncRNA from 1 species